GAGAAAUCCUGUCCUAGAGUGAUGGGGGAUAUUUCCCCGGGAUGUGUUGUGUGCCCUUUGCACAUAUGCAGGGCUAGGUGAUUUUUCAUUCUGCAUUAGGAGCCCCUCUGUGGGAGAAGCUGAGAGAGAAAGCUGCCAUCUCGCAAGGACACUGGUGGUAAGGCUUGGGGGGCUUCUGACUGAGGAGGGACAAAGGGAUGGACACCGUCAGGUCAGACAAAGAGAAGCUCUGGGAGGCAGAGCAAUGAAGGACCCAGGUGCGUGCACUGCUUCUCUGCUCCUACAUACUUUCCGUAUCCAUUUGGGGGUGAACA
rnacentral:lncRNA from 1 species